UCUCACAUCUCACCUCUAUCUCGAUCCCCCUCCCCCGCGUCCGAAUCCCAAACCCUAACCCACCUGCGCCGACGACACCAUCCCCCCGCCGCCGAUCUUGACCUGCACGCUGCUCAGCUCCAGCCAUGGCAUCUCAUACCCCCAGCGUCCUCUUCCUUAUCCCGCCGUCAGGUCGUAGGAUUUGCCCCGCCGUCCGCUGCCAUGGAUCUGCCGCCAAGUCCGCUUCCGAGGAGCCACCGUCCGCUCCUGCUGUUUCCCGGCAGGGCAGCUGCUGCUGAGGAGUCCGCUGCCGAGGAGCGGUCGUCCUGUCCGCUUCCUUGGAGUCGUCCGUAGCUGAGGAGCAACCGAUGUACUUCCUUGAGAUUGACCCCCUUGUCCUUCUCAGCCUCCAGAACGCUGUAGGUAAACAUAUUCGAUCUGUGAAUGUUCAGGACUAGCGUCUGCUUGACUGACUACCAGGUGGCGAAGAUAAAGACUGGCUUUGGCGUGUUGUUGCACAGUGCACCGGUGGAUGCGCAAAGAUAAACCAGAAUAUGUAAUGGGGAUUGGUUAUCCACUUGAAAUUGUAGUACGCAGGGCUUCGGGUGCAGAUCUGUAUGACUAUGUCUAUCCAACACGCACUGCUCUCUUUGGGUCUGCACUUUGUUCUGAAGCUGAAACAAAAUGCAAUGGUAAUUGAUGAACGGCCCAUUGAUCCUUCCUGUCCAUAUAUGGUAUAGCUUCAACACGACCAGCACUCCUAUUUCAUCUUUUAUAGUGAUCCCUACAUGUUAAAGAGAGCUUUGUUUGUGUUGCCUGUAGUGUGGUUCAGGGUUUCAAAAGUAGAUGCCGAGCUACCUAGAUACUGUGAUGCUUCUGCAUGAGUGGUGUUAGUUUUAUUGUACUUUGCAGUUUGUUUUAUGUUCUCUUCUGUCACUUCACGUCUUGGUAUAUUCUUCCUUGGUUCCCCAUUAUUCAAGUUUUUGUCUAUUUAAUAUGUAAUGAAUACUGAAAUUUUUGUUUCGACAUUGACAAUUUGAGUUUCUACAUUUCACUGGUAGUUGUGAAUCACUCCUGAAGGUACAUCCAUGAGGGACAAAAGGUUAUUUGGCGCUAGCAAUUAUUAACCACAUCUAAUCUGAUGCAUGUAUAUCAUGUAGGAAGAUGAUGACUUGUUCAUCCAGAAGCGUGUACCACCUAGAAGCCAUGCAGGCCUUGAGGAAUUCAGAGCAAGUUUGGUUCGCGGCCUGGUUAAGUCUCGCCUGGCCUAGACGUUGCAUGCUUGCAUGUAGGUUGUUUGGUGCAAAUACUGAAAAAGCCUGGCAUAGCCUAGCCUGUAGUUUGCAUGCUGGUGAUUAGCCUGGGCAGUACAGCCAGGGGGUAGUUAGCCUGACCCAGGCAUGGGAAUUUGGGUGCCUCGUCACACGAAGGAGCUCAUGCACUUACAGUAGUAAUAGCACAUUAGAUAUGAUGACUUGAUUAGUAAAAUAUAUUCUCAUAAUUGUGUCUUCAGCUUAGUUCCAAUAUGCAAUAUGAAAUUUUGUAGUAGUACUGCUGUAGCUAAUCGUGCCCAAGUAUUAAAUUUACAUAUGUUUUGAACUUUGCAAGUGCAUAUGUAUGCAAAUUUCAAAGCAUAUGUAGCUUUUGGAACUGAGCUGAAGACAGUCAUAUUUGGAUUGUUUAUAACUUUCUUAUUGUGAAUAUUUGAGAGCCCAUGCAAGAUGGUAAGAUGAACUUUGCCUACAUAUGCACCUGAGAGCACGUGCAUAUUAUAAGUACCAGUUUACAGUACCAUUUACUACACAACUUAGUACAUUCUAUUAACAAGUGCAUAUGUGAUUGUUUGCUGAUUGGGGAACUUCAAAUGCAAUGCUCUAUAUAGUUACAAUAAGAACCUUAUUCAUGAUGCCUUAUAACAGAUUUGAUUGCUUAUCAAUCAGGGCAUAAAUUUUGAUCGUAAGCCAUGUGAACCUUACUCAUGAUUCCUUAUAACAGAUUUGAUUGCUUAUCAAUCCGUGCAUACAUUUUGACUGUAAGCCAUGUGAUAUGCUAGGUGCUAGCUUGGCUUGGGUUGAUGUUCAGAUAAGGACAUAUUCUUGUUACCUGUUUGUUGUAAAUCUACUUUUUAGAUCUUUAUGAUCAAGGGCCAAUCACGAAUUUGAACAACUUCUCAUUUUCGAAGAUUGCUCAAAUAUAUGAGUUCUUUUGUAGGGACAAAUGGAAAAAGUAGCAAGUCCACAAGUUGAUGUAAGAUGUUCAAGUGACCGCUUUUGUUUAACAUGGUUGGCACAUUCUGUUCAUAUGGAAGGUGAUGUGAGCUUGGUGGUCAAAGACUUGGUCUCUUCCGUAAUAUUUUGUAGUACUCGAGUGAUCAAACAAUUGGUCUCUUAGGAAAUGGCCAUCAUAUUUUGUAACAGGCCUUGGCAUGAAUGUCGACUUGUGUAUUUCGUUAACGAUUGUAGCUAACUUGAGUGAAGAAAACUAACGGAUCUUCUAUACAUGAAUGAAUGCAUUGAUCAAUGGUAUCUUGUGAUGAA